CGCGCCCAGCGGCUCCCAUGGCGAGCUCGCCGGGAUGCCAUGCUCCAGCCGACUUCCCUCCCCGUCUUCUCCCUGCUUCUGCUCGGAGCUCCAGCUCAGCUCCCUCCGUGCGUCCGCGACCUUUGCCGUGGGGCUCCUUCCUGCGCGCGCCGGACGCCGGGUUGUCUUCAACCUCCAGCCGUGGAUUUCCUGCCGUGGAGCUUCGUUUUCCCGUGCGCGCGUCUCAUCUCCAUAGCGCUCGGCUCUCCUCCUCCCUGUCCUCUGUGCGCGCGUGUGAGAGGUGACCAGGCCUAGAAUAGGUGUGAAGUGUGUGUGCGUGCUGGGCGUGAUGGGUGGAGUGGGCCACUGUAACCGGGAUACAUAUACACUGUCUUGUGGAGGGGGAAAGGGAAUGCAUAAUGGGAAUUAUCAAUAGAAUUCUUCUCGUUCCUUU